AGAAGAAAAAGGGAAAGAAAGGAAAGAAAAAGAAGAAGAGGUGAGCUCCUGCCAUUCACGCCUCUUUACUUGAUUUUUCAAUCCUUUUCCUUU
rnacentral:ribozyme from 1 species